rnacentral:rRNA from 1 species
GAUGAACGCUGGCGGCGCGCCUAACACAUGCAAGUCGAACGAUUAAAGCACCUUCGGGUGUGUAUAAAGUGGCGAACGGCUGAGUAACACGUGGGCAACCUGCCCCUCUCAUUGGGAUAGCCACGGGAAACCGUGGAUAAUACCGAAUACUUCGGGACUUCCGCAUGGAAGACUCGAGAAAGCUCCGGCGGAGAGGGAUGGGCCCGCGGCCUGUUAGCUUGUUGGUGGGGUAAUGGCCUACCAAGGCAAUGAUGGGUAGCUGGGUUGAGAGACCGACCAGCCAGAUUGGGACUGAGACACGGCCCAGACUCCUACGGGAGGCAGCAGGGGGGAAUCUUGCACAAUGGGCGAAAGCCUGAUGCAGCGACGCCGCGUGCGGGAUGAAGGCCUUUGGGUUGUAAACCGCUUUCAGCAGGGACGAGGCGAAAGUGACGGUACCUGCAGAAGAAGCCCCGGCUAACUACGUG